rnacentral:sRNA from 1 species
CGCGUAAUGGAGGUGACUUGACACAGCA